rnacentral:rRNA from 1 species
UACGUAGGGACCGAGCGUUGUCCGGAAUCAUUGGGCGUAAAGCGCGUGUAGGCGGUCCGGUAAGUCCGCUGUGAAAGUCGAGGGCCCAACCCUCGAAUGCCGGUGGAUACUGUCGGGCUAGAGUACGGAAGAGGCGAGUGGAAUUCCUGGUGUAGCGGUGAAAUGCGCAGAUAUCAGGAGGAACACCAAUUGCGAAGGCAGCUCGCUGGGACGUUACUGACGCUGAGACGCGAAAGCGUGGGGAGCAAACAGG